rnacentral:rRNA from 1 species
UAAACUAGGAUUAGAUACCCUAUUAUUUGAAAUGUAAUUUUAAUCACUAAGGUAGUAGUAGUUAUGUUCUUGAAACUUAAAAAAUUUGGCGGUAUUUUAGUCUAUUCAGAGGAACCUGUCCUGUAAUUGAUAAUCCACGAUGUACCUCACUUAAAUUUGUUUUUCAGUUUAUAUACCGUCGUUAUCAGAAUAUUUUAUUAGAAUAAUAAUUUUCUAUAAUUUUUAUAAGAAUUUAUAUCAGAUCAAGGUGUAGCUUAUGUUUAAGUAGAGAUGGGUUACAAUAAAUUUAUUUAAACGGAUCUAAUUUUGAAAUUUUUAGUGAAGGUGGAUUUGAUAGUAAAAUUUUAAAGAUUGUUAAUUUGAUUUUAGCUCUAGAAUAUGCACACAUCGCCCGUCGCUCUUGCUAUUAAGGUAAGAUAAGUCGUAACAUAGUA